GAUCAACGAGGUUCAAUCUCAAGGCCUCUAAACAAUUAUUUCUUUGAAGGCCUAACUGCUGAAAUUCGAAUUAUAAGUGACAACUUGUCUUCUUCGCCGGAUUCCGGCUGCUGGAAAUAGAACACCAUCUCAGCCCCGUAUCUUUCAACCAUGUUGCUAUUUUAAGAUUUCUAGAUUUACUAAUUUAAAAAUCAGAAGAACAAAGGUUCUAAAGGGGUGCUCGGCCGUGAGUUUUCAUGGAGAAAGGAAGAUACCAUGAAUAUUGCUAUUGCUAGAACUGUUAAAUGAACGAGAUAAAGAUUGGUUAAUUAAGAAAAGAGAGAGUGAAGAGAUGAAGAUGGAGAGAGAGAGAGAGGCGGUGAGAAGGUGAGAGAAGAAGAAGAAACGUGGCUGCCAAAGGAGUAUUGUGAAUUGACGAUAUACACGUCAAUUCCUAUCUCAACAAUAAAUUAUGAAAAUUGGCUAUAAGGCCAAAUUGUUUUCUUAAUUACCAAAUAGAUGCCAUAACUUUAGAUAAUUACAAUUCUACACUUCCCAUCAAAUUCGAGAUAUAUUAUAAUUCCAUAUCGACACAUAUCAACUAAAUAAAUUCUAUUAUCCCCACACUUAAACAACUUACAUAUUUACGGGGUGUUACACUCUUCCUUCCUUAAUAGAAUCUGGUCCCCAGAUUCUCAACUAUUAUUCAAACAUGGAAAUACAAUUUCCUAAAAUUCUUUUCGUGCUCAUCGGUCGCUUCUUCAACGUGGUGGUUUCUCCAUAACACUUUCAAAUCUUGUGAUUGAAGAAUUCAUUAUCAUGAUAGAUAUCACUUGAGCGUAUAAUCUCUAGCAAGUAAUGAAAGUUGGUGCCGACAAUAGGAACCGAUUUCUAUUCAUGUGAUUAUUUAUCUUCAAGCCAUGUCGCUUCAAUGAAUAAUAUCCGAAAUCGAUCAAAAUGGUGUUAGCUUAGUCGGUAUACCUAAAACAUAUCAUAAAUUGUAUCCUUAACGAUCUAUAUGUUCCAAACUUGGUAUUGACUUAAGUAACGAGUUAAACUACUAUCGUAAUGAAUUCGAAAUUACUUAUUCAAUUCAAAUCUGAGGUAGUACUAGGAAGUACUUCUUGUGGAACCUUAAUAUCCGCGGCACCAUUAGCAAUACCGUACAGUUCAUCGGUCUCAUACUCGAUGUAGCCUUACUGUUGAGCAAAAUGCUAAAUAUUUCUAACGUUAUAGAAGUUGAAGGCCGAGAUACAGUUCGUCAACCAAUUAAUGGGAAUUGUGAGGUACAUCAACUAUGAGGAAACAAUCGAGUUAGGGUUGUAGCUAGAGUGCUACAAAUGGUCUGAUGAGAGGAAUGAAAGGGAUUAAUAAGGGGUCUUAUAUCGUUCGAAUCAUUAAAUCUCUCCCUAGUUAUCCGUGUCACAUUCUUCAAGAGAACGUGUUUCUUCUCAUCCGUUUCGCUCGAACCUUCGUGGUAAUUAGAAUUAUAUAUCUAGCUCCACAUAUGUAUAACUCUUUUGAAAAUCACUUGUAGACUUUGAUCUUUAUUCGAUAAGUCGAACUUAACCAGCAGCAUUCACUAUGAUCUCCAAUCACCACCCCUUCUGUUUGCUAUCGUUGGUUAUUCGCCGCUCAUCUAGUCUGGAAUUGCAAGCUUAAUUGACACUUUAUUCCAUGAACACUGCGAAAAUGUUUGUAUUCCAGCUUGAUAGGUUCCCAAUCAUCACGAUAAUAUGCGCUAUACAUUCUCAAUGUAACUUCAAUUUGUCCAGUCACCCACUUAAAUGAUAAGUUAGUUUUGAGAACGUUUCUCGUACCGAGCUGAAAUUUUGUCCCAUAUCGCAGAUAGUUGCUUUCAUAAGAACGAGAUGACUCAUAAUCUAUAUCGAGACAAUGUGAGUUGGCUACAAGAGAUAGAUUUCGGAUCUAAAUUAUCUUCAGCAGACAAAGAGGCAACUACUCUCCCGGUCCACAAAAUUCUCUUCUCAUUGGCCUACAUAAAGUGGAAUUGAAUGCACCAUAAUUAUAAUCAAAGAGGACGGCGAAGCCUGAUUUACUUAUGGUGAUUUACUUAUGGUAUCAACAUUGGACACUAUAAGGGCUUGAAUAUAGAUGGAGUUCACAAAGAAAAGGUUUUCGAACAGUAGGUCGACCAGGCAACGGUUGAUGGAAGAGACUUUUACUUCUAAAAUCAAGAGUAAUUGAAGGUGGCAACGGUUGAUACAAUCUUCCCGUGGUUUCGCAACCGCAUGCCUAAUAAAUACUUAUCGUAGAGAAGUCAUGACUCAGAAUAUCCGACAAUUGAGUAGUCUUAAUUUCAUUCAAUUCACUACCAUUUCAAGAUAGGUCAACUAGUCUAAUGUCAUUCUUCGAUACUAAGUACGCUCUAAUCACGUCCGAAACAGUAUACACACUAUGUCUAGUAAUGUCCAUGGUGAAUUACUUCAACCAAACGACAUGACGGGCAAAACUUAUUUAUAGCAAGUUGAACAUGCAAGCCGAAUUCUUGCAGUUGUCGUUCCCAUCUUACAAAGAAAAGUGCAAUCAUCUACGGUGUUAUUGACAAAGGUGUUCUACUUUAAACUUCUUCUCCACAUAGCACUUAGCUCUUCAUAUUAACCGAAUAGAAUUGCAAAAACUGAUAAUCUAAUGUCAAGAUAUAGCCGAGUUAUCGGAUACUAGGGACUCUAGAGGUGGCUCAUGCAAGAUUAAGAAGUGGCUCCCGCUGUGUAGCACUUUGUCCCGCAGGUUCAAGAGGUGGCUCCCACACCGUAGCACUUUGCCCUGCAUAGCACUUAGCUCCCUGUACCCUGACGAUUAGAAUCAAGAAUUCAAGUGCUCAAGAUACCUUAAGAGUCAACAAACUCUAUACAAUUUCUAAGUCGUGAUAACUACAUAACCCUUUUCCGUCGAGUAAGAUAAUCGUCGAAACUAUUCCAGGUCGAAUUCAUAAGAUGAUAUAACAAUAGAUGCAUACAACCGUAGUCAUAUUACACGACAUUGCCCAAACAAGGUCCAUACUUUUACCCUGAAUUAACAAUAAUCAUGGCCUAUGAGUGAGAGGGAACAACAGGAAGCGAUAUGAAGAAGUCGAAUCACAAGGUUUCAAAGGGAUAAGAAAACUCACACAAUAGGCUAUCCAAAUCAAGAAGUAUUAAAUGAGAUGAGGAAUCUCAAAAAGAACAUAACAAGAAUAUGGAAGCAUUCAAACAAGAUCAAACACCUCACUCAUGAUCAAUAAUGGGAAGGAAGUAAGAUAGUCAAGCAAUAUUGUAUACAAGAAUCAGAUACCUGAGAAAGUAGGUAACCGAGAUGCCGAAGUAUAGAAAUGAGAUAAGGAGUUUUGAAAUGGGAUAUGGGAUUAUCAUUGUGAUCAAUAAUAACAAUGGAGCAAACACAUGUACAAGAAUUGAAUUUUGAGGCCAAAAGAACAAGAACCUCAAAAAUAGGUAGAAAGAUUGACCCGACAUUAGAAUAAUAACAAUGGUAUAGCCAAAUGAAACGAGAAUAGGGACCUCAAAAGUAUGUAACCAAAAUCACGAGAUUUUCAAGGAAAUUGGAACACUGAAAAUUGAGUAGUAUAGAUUGAGUAAAGCAAUAUUCGAGGAAAUAAAAGUCUCGACAAAUAGAUUAGCCGAAACUAUAGUGUUCAAAGAGAUACAAAAACUCACAAUCAGGUAGAUGAAAGCAGAUGGUAAUAGAAUAAAGUAAGAAGCCUCAGAAGAACAUGACCAAAGUCAUGACGUAUUCAAAAUAAUUGGAUCACUAAAGAUGGAGUGAACUCGAUAAGAAGUCUCGGCAAAUAGAUAAGCCAAAACCAUAGAAUAUUUAAAAAAGAAAGAAGAUGGAGAUGGUAGCACAUAAGGUAAGGGCUUCAAAACAAGAGAUAAUCCAAACCAUGCGGAAUUUGAAGGGGUACGAAACCUCAUAAAAUUGGUAACUAAGACUAUGAGGUAUUAAAAUGAGAUAAGAGAAUCAAUUACGAUCAACAAAUGAAAUUAGACAAUAUAGGCCAACGAAUCAAAAUUGAAUUCAUUGGAAUGACAAGGAGUGAACAAAAGAACUCCCGAAUAUUUGGUUCACCGUAAUUCAAUAUUCAAACUGAGAUAAUAUGGUUUCGAUAAGGAAGUCAAGUUAUGAAGUAAAAUGGAAUGGGACGUCUACAAGAAAAGGUGUUACCAAAUUCAAGUGAGACUAGAAACCUCACUCGUGAUCAACAUUGGAGAAUUGGGAGAAUUGGAAGCCAAUUGAAGUAACCAAAUAGAUAAGCCGUCUCAGGUUGUGUAUGAUAGAUAUUUCUACGGGUUAUUCCUCACUAUCUACACGCUAAAGAAUUAUCUCAAUGCUUCUAUGACUCGAAAACUGCCAAUCACAAUUUAGCCCAAGAUUCAAUUCAUAGCUCUACAAUUCUCAAAGAUCCCUUUCCAUUACCGCCCGGGCAUCCAACCCAAAGCCAACCCAAAGCUUUACCAACCCAAAGCUCUGAUACCACCUGUAGCGCCCCGCCCCGAGUAGCAGGCACCUCGUGGCGGAACACCACUCAACAUGCAGUACAUUCAAUGACCCCAAAUAUGCUCCUCAAAAUUGCAAUGAUCAAAACAUUAAACCCCCAAUAUCUAUACCAUCGUGUUUACAAAAGGAGGUUCUAUUACAAGUCGACUUCGACACCACUUACUCUAUUACAAAAUUCUCGAUCAAAGGAUUCCUAUACGGAACAUAAAUAGAGAUACCUCUCGACGAGACUAAUCGGAGGCAUACACGAGCUUUAACUCUUAGUAUGAAAAUUUAGGUAUAAAUCUUUCUUUUACCUGCGCAUUAAUAUCAGAAAGGAGAAACGAAUAAGUCCGAAUGACUUAGUGAAAAACAUAUGAUCCAUGAGUAUGAUGAGAAUCAACAAAACAGAACAUAUAACGAGAGACUUUACAAGAAUUUCAUUAAUAGAAGUGUAACAUGUACAAGAGUGUAACAUGUACGGCUUGAGUUCAAUGUUUGGUGGGGUCUCCAACCUUGUAACUCCCAACAAAUAAAAUCAUAUCACAUCCUUAUCCCUCCAAUCCGUCCCGAGUGGCCACUCGGUCGGAAACAGGCAGGAGGCACGACCGGAACGUGCCGAUCCGGCUCAGGAACGUUUAACUCCAAACGAACGUGAGUCCGAACCAUCAGGAGGUACCAUUCGGGAGACCAGUCAUCGUCAGCCCAAUACUGCCCGAUCGUCUUGCCGAAAUGGUCCUAGGGCCCAGCUCCCCCAAGAGCGUCCUCAAGGGUGGGGACAGUAGGUUCAAGAAUCAAUAUCAUUCCUUUUAGGAAUAUCAAGUCAUUCAUUUCAAGAAUCAAGUCAAUCAUUCACAAGAUAAGUCACGAUCAUGAUAAUUGAAUAUCAAGUCUCAGGAUAAUGAACAUGUUCAGAUUUCAAUUCAAGCCAAUGAAGAAUUGUCGUGAAUAUGGAAUUCAAGAAUUCAAGAAGAACAAUAAAUUCCAUGUCAGGUUCCAAGAACGAGUAUAUCAAGAUCUCAAUGAAUUCAAUAAACAUGAGAUUCAAGUUCGAGCCAACAAAAUAUUUAUUCUCGGAAAGCAUUCAAUCGGAAAGCAUUCAAGACAAGAUUUUGAGAAUAAAUAUUAUUCAAUAUCGAUUCAAGGAAAAUGUUCGGGCCAAGGAAUCAAGUAUAGGAAUUAGCCGUGAACAUAGCAACCAAGAGAAUUGACAAGUUCAAGAUUUCAAGAACAAGAUCAAGGUUCCAAGUUCGAGCCAAGGAAACGAAUAUGCUCGCAGAACAUUAAGGAUCAUAUUCCAAGAAAAAUAUAACAACUUAAUCUACAAGUUUUAUGAAGGCACAGAGCCCAAAUUAUGAUCCCAACAUAUCGAAAACAGUCCCGCAAGCGGAUAAGGGGUCAUAGUUUCUCACCUGGAGUCCAAUGCUAGUUCUAUAGGUGCAUCUUUAAGCUUAAACCUUGAGUGAGAGCUUUAGUACGCUCGACACUUAUAUUUUACGAUGUCCUCUACGAGUUUCCUGAAGGAACUGAUUCGAAAUUCGCAUUCGAAACCCUUUGAUUUCGGCUCCGAAAACAGGUGCGGCAGCAGGUUUUGCUUCCCCAAAAUCGCAGCGAGCAGGCUGACUUCUCAGCAAACUCCGGGGACCGCCGCCCGUGCAAACCAUCAAGAACCACGACCAAUAGAGAGCCAAACUCAUUAGCUUUCUAACGAUGGAUCUAUUCGUCAACCAAUUAAUGAAUUGUUUACAUCGUGUGAGUGGAUGACUGAAAACAUUGAAGGAACCUUGUGAACGUAACAACUUGUCUUCUUCGCCGGAUUCCGGCUGCUGGAAAUAGAACACCAUCUCAGCCCCGUAUCUUUCAACCAUGUUGCUAUUUUAAGAUUUCUAGAUUUACUAAUUUAAAAAUCAGAAGAACAAAGGUUCUAAAGGGGUGCUCGGCCGUGAGUUUUCAUGGAGAAAGGAAGAUACCAUGAAUAUUGCUAUUGCUAGAACUGUUAAAUGAACGAGAUAAAGAUUGGUUAAUUAAGAAAAGAGAGAGUGAAGAGAUGAAGAUGGUGAGAGAGAGAGAGGCGGUGAGAAGGUGAGAGAAGAAGAAGAAACGUGGCUGCCAAAGGAGUAUUGUG
rnacentral:lncRNA from 1 species